rnacentral:rRNA from 1 species
CCUACGGGUGGCAGCAGUCGAGAAUCAUUCACAAUGGGGGAAACCCUGAUGGUGUGACGCCGCGUGGGGGAAUGAAGGUCUUCGGAUUGUAAACCCCUGUCAUGUGGGAGCAAAUUAAAAAGAUCGUACCACAAGAGGAAGAGACGGCUAACUCUGUGCCAGCAGCCGCGGUAAUACAGAGGUCUCAAGCGUUGUUCGGAAUCACUGGGCGUAAGGCGUGCGUAGGCUGUUUCGUAAGUCGUGUGUGAAAGGCGCGGGCUCAACCCGCGGACGGCACAUGAUACUGCGAGACUAGAGUAAUGGAGGGGGAACCGGAAUUCGCGGUGUAGCAGUGAAAUGCGUAGAUAUCGAGAGGAACACUCGUGGCGAAGGCGGGUUCCUGGACAUUAACUGACGCUGAGGCACGAAGGCCAGGGGAGCGAAAGGGAUUAGAUACCCCAGUAGUC